UACGGAGGGUGCAAGCGUUAUCCGGAUUUACUGGGUUUAAAGGGUGCGUAGGUGGAUUUGUAAGUCAGUGGUGAAAUCUCCGAGCUUAACUCGGAAACUGCCAUUGAUACUAUAGAUCUUGAAUUAUCUGGAGGUAAGCGGAAUAUGUCAUGUAGCGGUGAAAUGCUUAGAUAUGACAUAGAACACCAAUUGCGAAGGCAGCUUACAACAGUUCGAUUGACGCUGAGGCACGAAAGUGUGGGGAGCGAACAGG
rnacentral:rRNA from 1 species